GGGCAGGGGGAGGGGCUGGGGAGGCCAGCCCAAGCUGCAUGGCACUUCCCAGCAGUUGCAGGAAAAUUAAAUGUGGUUUUCCUCAUCAUCGUGAACAACAGGGGUACAGGAAAACUGGGGGAUAAUGUCCCCAUUAGCCUGUUUUCUUAGCACACAGAGGGAGAGAUUUUAAAAAUAAAAUAAAACUACAUCCCAAUUUGAUGCCCUAACCUACCAAAACAAAACACAUGCAGAUUUUAAAAUGUAGAAAAAUCCCAUCAGAGUCAAUUCAGUUAUCCCCCUGCCUCUAACAGGUGUCCCAUAACCAGGACAGAUCACCUGGAUGCCUGCCUGCCCUGAUAACUGAUGUUGAAGGUCAGUUGACCCAUCUCACCUCCUCCAGGAAGCCUCGCUGCUCCAGCCCUCCCACACUGCCAGGCCUCCAACCACCAGCCCUGGCUCUUACAACCUGGACAAUCUUGCUUUUUUCUGGCCCUGGAACUUUGCCCGCAAGACCACGCCUCAGGGUGGAAAAUGAAAGAUGCUUAAGGUCACUGCCCCUCCUGUUCUGUACACAAGCCUAAGCUCGGGAGGAAAUAAUUUGAGGUAUCUGGAAGAAGCAGAGAGAGCAGGGCAGCUCUGAAGUCACUGCGAGGCUGUGAGAGGUCAGCCAGCGCUUCAAAGGACCCCAGGACCUUUGCAUAACCCUGGACUGAAUGGGAAGGGAAAGUCCCAGUCAUGACAGAAACGGAAUUUCCCACCAACUCAGUAGGAGGUUUGGGGUUCAGGGUCAGUUUCAUGGCAGUGCAAACAAAAUAAAGAAAAUGUGAUAUUUA